rnacentral:rRNA from 1 species
UACGUAGGAGGCGAGCGUUGUCCGGAGUACUGGGCGUAAAGCGCACGCAGGCGGUCUUGUCAGUCUCAAGGUGACAGUCCCCGGCUUAACUGGGGAAGUGUCGUGGGAAACUGCAAGACUUGAGGGCUUCAGAGGGACAUGGAAUUCCAGGUGGAGUGGUGAAAGUGCGUAGAUAUCUGGAGGAACACCAAAGGCGAAAGGCAGUGU